GAUGAAGAAAGCAGCGAAAUGCGAUACGUAAUGUGAAUUGCAGAAUUCAGUGAAUCAUCGAAUCUUUGAACGCAUAUUGCGCUCUCUGGUAUUCCGGAGAGCAUGCUUGUUUGAGUAUCAGUAAACACCUCAACUCCCUUUUCUUUUUUGAAAUUGGAGCUGGACUUGAGUGAUCCCAACGCUUUCUUCCAAGAAAGUGGCGGGUUGCUUGAAAUGCAGGUGCAGCUGAACUUUUCUCUGAGCUAUAAGCAUAUCUAUUUAGUCUGCCUAAAAAACAGAUUAUUACCUUUGCUGCAGCUAACAUAAAGGAGACUAGUUCUUGUGCUGACUGAUGCAGGAUUCACAGAGACAGCUUCGGCUGACUUUGUAAACUCGAUCUCAAAUCAAGUAAGACUACCCGCUGAACUUAAGCAUAUCAAUAAGCGGAGGA
rnacentral:misc_RNA from 1 species